CACCAAGGCAUUGUCUUCAUUCCACUGUAAAGAUGAGUUCACGGCUGCUUGCUGUGUCAUGGCAUUUCAACACCAUCAGAAAAUCAUUACAGAUCCAAGAGGAACAAAGAUAGACAUGUCAGAUGUAAGACAUGCAUUAUGUCACUCAGGCCUUGAACCUUUGCCGGUUGUGGAAAAAGUGAUCUUUCCAUGUCUCCUACACUUCACACCACUGAAAUCUGAUUGGACAGCUACACAGACUCCGGUGGAAUGAAGGAUAGAAUUCACAGAGCAGAUAAAACCGCAUUUCGGCUUCCACAGCUCUUCUGUACCUGUAUGAAGUAUAACACAAUAUAAGCACACUGUCAAUAAAUAAAUCACAGGGAAUAUGGAUUACUUAAAGACUGUACAUCUAACGGGCAAAUUUUGAAAAUUUUAAUUUCCAAAUCUAACUGAUUUAACUGUUGUGCAGGUUCAAGUUCCAUUGUGACGGCAGUUGUUGCCUUCAGAGAGUGUGAGAGAAUGUACUCUGUGACUUGGCCUCUCCCUUCAGCGAGCCCAAACCUGUCUCUCCCUCUGUGCCUGUAGGUCAUACAGUUACGAGGCCUGUUUACUUUGCCAACCACAAAAAAACUGGGCUUUUUGACUCCCAACACAGUGUAACACAACCCUAAACCCCCACCCCCCGCGAACAUGCAUGUGUGUUUGAGAGGGGGGUUUUCCACACGCUUUAGUACGGAUCUGCACAGAUUUACCCUCUUACAUGCAUACAAUCAAAAUAAAAAAAAUACAUAUUUUAAACCUAAAGUACUUUUUUUAGUUUAUCUUUUUAACAUCAUUGCCGUCAAGCAGAAUGUAGAAGAAUAUUUUAAAAUGUAAAUCAAAUGGCAUUUUCUUAAGACAAUUGCUAAUGUUACCCACCUUGACUUUGACCACACACUCACCUUGCUCAUGGCGUUAGAUCCAACUUGGUGCUAAACAAACAAAAAGUCAGAUAUUGUUUUCUGUUAAACCUUGCAAAAAAUAAAAAGGCCUAAACCCUUAGCAUGAAGGUCUUGAACGUUUUUAGUUGGUCCCAAUGUGCGCUUGAUUCCCACCGUGAUGAGCAGCAGUGUGAUCCUCUUUCUCAGGUCUGUCUUUAUUUGCCUACCUGCUUCAGGUAGCGCUGCUACACCAGCAGGCAGCGACCAAUGGGAAUUAGCCUUUUUUUGCAAACCGCACCCCUUCGUAUCAUAAAUCUGAACCACA
rnacentral:lncRNA from 1 species